CGACGAUACACGAAGAACCUUACCUGGACUUGACAUAGUAAGAACUUUCUAGAGACAGAUUGGUGUCUGCUUGCAGAAACUUAUAUACAGGUGCUGCACGGCUGUCGUCAGCUCGUGUCGUGAGAUGUUGGGUUAAGUCCCGCAACGAGCGCAACCCUCGUCCUUAGUUGCUAACAGUUCGGCUGAGAACUCUAAGGAGACUGCCUACGCAAGUAGGAGGAAGGUGAGGACGACGUCAAGUCAUCAUGGCCCUUACGUCCAGGGCUACACACGUGCUACAAUGGGGUAUACAAAGAGCAGCAAUACGGUGACGUGGAGCAAAUCUCAAAAAUAUCUCCCAGUUCGGAUUGUAGUCUGCAACUCGACUACAUGAAGUUGGAAUCGCUAGUAAUCGUAGAUCAGCUAUGCUACGGUGAAUACGUUCCCGGGUCUUGUACUCACCGCCCGUCACACCAUGGGAGUUGAACUCAUUCGAAGCGGGGAUGCUAAAGUAGCUACCUUCCACAGUGGAUUCAGCGACUGGGGUGAAGUCGUAACAAGGUAACCGUAGGAGAACCUGCGGCUGGAACACCUCCUU
rnacentral:rRNA from 1 species